AGACAAGGGGAAAAACUAAGGAGAAAAAAUCUGAGUGCCGUUACAAGAAACCCUCCUCUCGAGUUCGAUCCGAGGAGCAGAUGGAGGAGGAGUAAGAAGCUUGAGGACAAGACCGACCUAUCGCUGGUGACCGACCUCGCAUAGAAAUAUUUCUGAUGCUCAUAUGUAAAAUUGUGGUUGUUAUUCAGCUUUUGCUGGGUAAAGAACUGCAGUUGUUUGUUGGUUGGAUGACCUAGUUGGAUGCUAGUAUAAAAGACAGUUUUUAAUUCUUCGAGUGUUUGCAUCUGUCCAAGAAAAUUUGGUGAUAGUCCUACAAAAUAACAUUGUCAAGUGGACUUAUUUUGAUCUGGGUAGUGGCAUUCCUUUUGGAGUUCAACUGCAGAAGGCAGGGCAGAAGGGAUCCAUCACUCAGUCUUGGGUUGCUGUAAAGUCUAAAUAAUCAACAAUAUCAAAGCAAUAAUUAAAAUUUUCACACAGAUAAUGCAGUAUAUGGAUCCAAGUUAAUGGUUCUUUCAAUAUGACGGGAAAUAUAGUUUUCUCUGUGUUGUUUCUUCUUCUCCCUCUGGCUGAAUCGUCAAGAUCAUGGAAAAUGUUGAAUAUGAGCUUGGGUGGGGAGGCGAAUUUAUUACCUGGUUGGCCAAUCUUAAGUGCAGGAGCAUUUGUACUCGUCGCACUGGUGCUAUCCUUGUUCCUUAUCGUUGAACACCUUGCUGUCUAUAAUCAGCCUGAGGAGCAAAAAUUCUUGAUCGGUCUCAUUCUGAUGGUUCCUGUAUAUGCAGUUGAGUCGUUCUUGUCUUUGUUGGACACAAAAGUUGCAUUCAUCUGUGAAAUGAUGCGGGACUGUUAUGAGGCGUUUGCCAUGUAUUGUUUUGAGAGAUACUUGAUAGCUUGUUUAGGUGGUGAGGAAAGUACAAUUAGAUUUAUGGAGACUCAAAUGGAAAUAUUUUCUAGCACGCCUCUUUUGGAGCUUGAGCAUGCAGAUGGAGUGAUAAGACAUCCAUUUCCACUGAAUUGCUUCAUGAAGCAUUGGUAUCUUGGUUCUGACUUCUACCAUUCUGUAAAGAUUGGAAUUGUGCAAUAUAUGAUACUUAAGACAGUAUGUGCUUUCUUAGCAAUCAUUUUAGAGCUUUUUGGGGUUUACGGUGAAGGGAAGUUCGGAUGGAGAUAUGGAUAUCCAUAUCUAGCAGUUGUUCUGAAUUUUAGUCAGACUUGGGCCUUGUAUUGCCUCAUACAGUUCUAUUCUGUUACUAAGCACAAGUUGGAACCUAUUAAGCCCCUGGCCAAGUUCCUUGUGUUCAAGUCCAUUGUGUUCUUGACUUGGUGGCAAGGUGUUGCUGUUGCAUUUCUUUUCUCAACGGGAGCCUUUAAAGGUCAUUUGGCACGAGAGUUGAAAACACGCAUCCAGGACUAUAUCAUAUGCAUCGAGAUGGGGAUUGCUGCGGUCGUUCACUCACAUGUAUUUCCAGCUAAACCGUAUCGCCGUGGGGAAAGAUGUGUUCGCAAUAUUGCUGUUAUGAGUGAUUAUGCUUCACUUGGAGCUCCUCCAGAUCCAGAAGAGAUUAGUGAUGGUGGGAGGUUAACAAGGAUGCGAAUUGCUCGUCCUGACGACGGGGAAAGACGGUUGAGUUUCCAACAGAGUGUUCGAGACGUAUUCUUUGGGAGCGGCGAAAUUGUGGCCGAUGAUGUUAAAUUUACUGUUUCUCAUGUGGUGGAACCAGUGGAGCGAGGUCUUGCAAGGAUAAAUGAGACACUUCAUCAGAUAUCAGAAAAUGUGAAGCAGCAUGAGAAGCGAAAGAGAAAAGCCAAAGAUGACAGCUAUGUAGUUCCCAUGCAUUCAUGGACACAGGAGUUCAUGGAAGUGUAUGAUCAUCUUCCCGAGGGAAGUGUCAGUGAUAGUGAAUUGGCUAGAAAGAGAUGCCAAGCAAACACAAAAUUUGCUGCUUCAGAGACUGGUCGAUCAGAUGCUUCUUCUGAACGUCGCUCAUUUGAGUUCAGCGGUGGAAGAUGGUCAUGAUGGACGCAUCACGAUUAGUAGUAGUUAGACUUUAGUAUUAACAAUGAGGCUGGACUCGAUACGUGAAGAUUUUGGUUCAAGCAUCCUUCAGGUCUUCACAGCUGAGUAAUCUGUGCAUAUGUGGAUCUGAUCCAAAGGUCCCAGGCCUCUUCUCUAGCCUUAUGAGUGCCAGAAGAAUUGUGAUUGGGCUGAUUCUUCGAAGCAGUCACGAUUUUAAUGUUUCUGGGAUGUUUGUCGAUACAAAUAUUGUUGUAGCUUAUAGUAUCUGGCUGCUCGUAUAUGUAAAUCGGUAAUAUUUCUAGUCAGGAAAUUGAUAAUAUUUCUAGGCUUUUCUUGAAAUCCUUGAUUGCAGCACAUAUUAUAUUUGCCCCUAAAGCUACCUAUGAAAUUUGUGUGGCAUGCUGCGUGGUAGCCCUUCUCAGUUCGCACACUAAUGUGAAGGACAAGGUUGAGCAGAGGAUAGAAGGUUCUGAAACCAAUUUGCCCCUUCACGUGGAUCAUUAAUUUGGUUUUUAGCUACAUAAUGAAUUUGAUUUCCUUGGACUUUUUCUUGUACUAAGGUUUGUUCCUAUAAUUGUUAUAGAACUAUU